ACCUACCCUUGACUUGUACGGAAUCUCCCAGAGAUGGGAGAGUGCCCGAAAGGGAACCGUAACACAGGUGCUGCAUGGCUGUCGUCAGCUCGUGUCGUGAGAUGUUGGGUUAAGUCCCGCAACGAGCGCAACCCUUGUCAUUAGUUGCUACAUUCAGUUGGGCACUCUAAUGAGACUGCCGGUGACAAACCGGAGGAAGGUGGGGAUGACGUCAAGUCCUCAUGGCCCUUAUGGGUAGGGCCUCACACGUAAUACAAUGGCCGGUACAGAGGGUUGCCAACCCGCGAGGGGGAGCUAAUCUCAGAAAGCCGGUCGUAGUCCGGAUUGUUCUCUGCAACUCGAGAACAUGAAGUUGGAAUCGCUAGUAAUCGCGGAUCAGCAUGUCGCGGUGAAUACGUUCCCGGGUCUUGUACACACCGCCCGUCACACCAUGGGAGUGGGUUUCACCAGAAGUGGGUAGCCUAACCGCAAGGAGGGCGCUUACCACGGUGAGAUUCAUGACUGGGGUGAAGUCGUAACAAGGUAACCAAGGG
rnacentral:rRNA from 1 species